rnacentral:rRNA from 1 species
GACGAACGCUGGCGGCGUGCCUAAUACAUGCAAGUUGAGCGCUGAAGGUUGGUACUUGUACCAACUGGAUGAGCAGCGAACGGGUGUGUAACGCGUGGGGAAUCUGCCUUUGAGCGGGGGACAACAUUUGGAAACGAAUGCUAAUACCGCAUAAAAACUUUAAACACAAGUUUUAAGUUUGAAAGAUGCAAUUGCAUCACUCAAAGAUGAUCCCGCGUUGUAUUAGCUAGUUGGUGAGGUAAAGGCUCACCAAGGCGAUGAUACAUAGCCGACCUGAGAGGGUGAUCGGCCACAUUGGGACUGAGACACGGCCCAAACUCCUACGGGAGGCAGCAGUAGGGAAUCUUCGGCAAGAGACGAAAGUCUGACCGAGCAACGCCGCGUGAGUGAAGAAGGUUUUCGGAUCGUAAAACUCUGUUGGUAGAGAAGAACGUUGGUGAGAGUGGAAAGCUCAUCAAGUGACGGUAACUACCCAGAAAGGGACGGCUAACUACGUG